CUUGAGACCGGUGUGCGCAUGCGCGCAAUAGGGGGCUCCACGCAGAGGGGCGCGACAGACGGCCAGUUCGCCUGUACAGAAAGUCCUAGGCUGCAGGAUAAAGCCUUGAGUCGCUUUGUGGUGCAGUUUUACCCAUUCAAGCACCCAUUCAAGGUGCUUUCUGGGGAUCCAAUCCGGAAUCACUGCAGAGGGGGCCUGGAUUGUAAACCAGAUUGCAACACGCAGGCAACACAUCUAUGGAAAGGGGCAACAUGUAUAGGAUGCCGACAGUGGACCGGGCCUGUGCAAGCAAGGCCCUGUAGAGUGGUCGAUUCACAGAUUCAGCUUCGCUGAAGAGACUGACUGCCUCAAACGAUGAACAUAGGCAUGUGGAACAGUGGACAAAAUCGUUCCUUUUUUAUACGUAAAUGUGGAACAGAGCUACCGUUUAGAGGCUAGCAAACUUAAGUUAAAGGACUGCUUUGGUUGGGAUGCUGAAGACUAGGACAGAAUACAACUGAUUGCUUGUUUUAUCUACGUUGUAAUAGGAAUCAACUUCAUUUGGCAUAGUGUUUUAAAUCCAUUAUAUGUCAUACUGUUAUUCAAUAAGAAACCAGCAUUUUAUACCGUGGCCUUAGAUGAUAUUUAACAAUAUUUCUGUGUUUCAAACAAGUGUCUUUAUUUGAUUAUUUGAGGUUGUUUAUAAUGCCAUUUAAUUCAAGUGAACACAUAUAUUUACAUUUACUGAUAUUGUAGUCAGUUGACUUUGCCACUGAAAGAAAAAAAUUGGUACAACUAGUUAUUUGUUAAAAUAGAAAGCAGAAAAUUAAAUUAUAAAAUAGGGGAAAAGAAAGGAUUCUAAUGAAAAUUUAACAGAGCAAUAGGUGGGUUUUUAAGCUUUUUUUUUUUUGGUUAUUGAUUACAUUACAUUUGUGGUCAGAGAAUAUGAACUAUGUGAUAUAAAGCCUUUGCUGUUGGAACACAGAUGAAAAAAUAGAUAAAGAGAAUAACAAGUCAAGAAGUAUCCGCAUAUACGUCCCAGAACUUGUGUAUAACAGAGGUGGCAUUUCUGAUGAGUUUCGUGAUAAGGACUUAAAAAAUUUCUCAUAUAAUUACUCAUCCCAGGUGGUGCCCGUGGUAAAGAAACUGCCUGCCAAUGCAGGAGACAUAAGAGACACAGGUUCAAUCCCUGGGUCAGGAAGAUCCCCUGGAGGAGGAAAUGGUAACCUACUCCAGUGUUCUUGCCUGGAGAAUUCCAUGGACAGAGGAGCCUGGUAGGCUACAGUCUAUAGGAUCCAUAGGGUCGCAAAGAGUUGGACAUGACUGAAGCGACUUGUUAUGCAGUGUGUGUAUA
rnacentral:lncRNA from 1 species